CAGGACGAACGCUGGCGGCGUGCCUAAUACAUGCAAGUCGAACGGUCUUUCUAUGGAAGCUUGCUUCCACUAGAGAAGAUAGUGGCGAACGGGUGAGUAACACGUGGGUAACCUGCCCAUAAGAGGGGGAUAACAUCCGGAAACGGGUGCUAAUACCGCAUAGUUUUCUUGAUCGCAUGAUCGGGAAAGGAAAGACGGCCUUUGUGCUGUCGCUUAUGGAUGGACCCGCGGCGUAUUAGUUAGUUGGUGAGGUAAUGGCUCACCAAGACGAUGAUACGUAGCCGACCUGAGAGGGUGAUCGGCCACAUUGGGACUGAGACACGGCCCAAACUCCUACGGGAGGCAGCAGUAGGGAAUCUUCCGCAAUGGACGAAAGUCUGACGGAGCAACGCCGCGUGAGUGAAGAAAAGGGUUUUCGGAUCGUAAAACUCUGUUGUCAGAGAAGAACAAGUUGGAGAGUAACUGCUCCAGCCUUGACGGUAUCUGACCAGAAAGCCACGGCUAACUACGUGCCAGCCGCCGC
rnacentral:rRNA from 1 species